GCGUGAACCAUUUUCUUUAACAUUUUCAAUUAACGGGUCAUCCCCAUACCCCAUCCGGUAUGAGCACCAAAUUACUAAAUCUCGAUACUCCGUCUGGUAUGAGGGUGAAACGGACCGUCCCCGCACCCGUCCAGUAUGAGCGCUAAAUUACCAAAUCUUGAUGCCCCGUCCGGUAUGAAGCAACGUUCACGGUAAGGUUCUUUAUGUACCCGGCUCGUCCACCAUCUCCUAGAAUAUCUAGUAAGCCUGCUGUUUCAUCCAUUCACGUAAUUAAAUAAUUUUUUGUUGACCUUUAAUUU
rnacentral:lncRNA from 1 species